rnacentral:rRNA from 1 species
UGGUGGAGUGAUUUGUCUGGUUAAUUCCGAUAACGAACGAGACCUUAACCUGCUAAAUAGCCCGGCCGGCUUUUGCUGGUCGCCGGCUUCUUAGAGGGACUGUCAGCGUCUAGCUGACGGAAGUUUGAGGCAAUAACA